UAAAGAUUCAUCGCUGAUAGAUAGGCAUGCGUUCCAUUAGGCAGUUGGCGGGGUAACGGCCCACCAAACCGACGAUGGAUAGGGGUUCUGAGAGGAAGGUCCCCCACAUUGGUACUGAGACACGGACCAAACUCCUACGGGAGGCAGCAGUGAGGAAUAUUGGUCAAUGGGCGUAAGCCUGAACCAGCCAAGUCGCGUGAGGGAUGAAGGUUCUAUGGAUCGUAAACCUCUUUUAUAAGGGAAUAAAGUGUGGGACGUGUCCUAUUUUGUAUGUACCUUAUGAAUAAGGAUCGGCUAACUCCGUGCCAGCAGCCGCGGUAAUACGGAGGAUCCGAGCGUUAUCCGGAUUUAUUGGGUUUAAAGGGUGCGUAGGCGGCCUUUUAAGUCAGCGGUGAAAGUCUGUGGCUCAACCAUAGAAUUGCCGUUGAAACUGGGGGGCUUGAGUAUGUUUGAGGCAGGCGGAAUGCGUGGUGUAGCGGUGAAAUGCUUAGAUAUCACGCAGAACCCCGAUUGCGAAGGCAGCCUGCCAAGCCAUGACUGACGCUGAUGCACGAAAGCGUGGGGAUCAAACAGGAUUAGAUACCCUGGUAGUCCACGCAGUAAACGAUGAUCACUAGCUGUUUGCGAUACAG
rnacentral:rRNA from 1 species